GCGCGGAUGGCGGAAUCGGUAGACGCGCUGGAUUUAGGUUCCAGUGCCUUCGGGCGUGCGGGUUCGAUUCCCGCUUCGCGCA
rnacentral:tRNA from 1 species